rnacentral:sRNA from 1 species
AUACUUACCACUAUACUACAACGACUUUGUU